GCUCUCCUUUUCAGGGAACAGGGCUUGAGAAGCAAGGACUUAAAAGAUGGGUAGGACUUAAAAAGGGCACUUCAGUUGCAAAUGAAGGUCUAUCUGCCGGAACACUGGCCAUUCCACAGGACAGGUGACCACAAGAUCACUUUACAGCUUGGGAAUCGACAACCUACCAGACCACGUGGUCUCCAGCUCUCCAGAUCCAGCCACACUCACGGCCAACUGCUGCUUUAAAGUGUCCCUUCUUAUUUCUGUGGGUAUGUUACUGGGUCUUUCGGGUCACUCACCCACUAGACCACCUCCCCCUCCAGAGGGGUCCCCUGCCCCCCUAGAAAUUUGGUGGCUUGACAGUGCAGUGUGCUUUUUAGACAACUAGUUAAAACAGGAACAAGAACCCCCACAAGACACCCAUCUUCUGACUACUCAUGGAUAGAGAAGUUCAGCUUAUGCACAAAAGAAUCACACCAAUGAAGUUUUUCAACCUUUAUUAAUAUGUCAUCUAUUUUUAAAAAUAGUGAGACUGCUCCAAACAACAGAUGCAUGAGAGAUACCUGAAAAUUAAAAGGGCAAAGUAAUUACACUAGAUUCCUGUGAAAAUACAAACACAAACCAGUUUAGGACAAAUUCAAUCAAGAGGUAUAGUAUAGUUUGAAGCUACUUCCACUUCCCCUAACUUCAUCUGAAGAAAAAGGAGGAAAACGGAAAGGCAGAAGUAAAAGUCAAGCAAAGACGCCGCAGGGAUUUGAACCCUGUCCUGGAAGCCAGGAGUGCCAACCACCAGCAUCUUUUGCUUUUUUUUUUAAAGCUAGGUAAAGGCCAAAAAGCAAAACCUGAGAAAACAAAGUAUUUUGUUUUCUCAGGAAAAGAAAAACCUUUAAAUUUUAAGACCCUACUGAAGAGCACUGGAGAAUCUGCUUCAGCUAAGAUGCUAGCUUGGCCAAGUCUGUUAUGUUCACCUGAAAAAGUCUUAGCAGAGAAGUCACUUGUGGGGAGACCUUGCUUUUUAACAGGUUUCUGGAAAAGCUAGGGAGAAGUGGUUGCCCGCUUUCCCCCUUUCCCUCCCCUUCAAGCACCACUCAGGUCUGGGCUUCAUCAAGGGCUGCUCUAAAAACAGCCC
rnacentral:lncRNA from 1 species